GAGUAUAUAUCUCAGUGGUAAGAGUGCAUGCUUAGCAUGCACAAGGUCCUGGGUUCAAUCCCCAGUACCUCCA
rnacentral:tRNA from 1 species